CACUUGCACUUUUCAUGCAUUUUUUCAAGAGCAAACUGAGAGAGCUAGAGAGGAGAACUUUUGACAGUUCUUGCCUCUUGAGUUUCCAGCCAUUCUUACACUCUUUUUACGCUAGGAUUAAGUAUUAUGCUACAUUUUAAAAAACUAAAAUGUUGCAGAUUAAAAAUGGAAUUUGAAAAGCUGCUGACUAGAAGCAAUUAUAAAAGUGAAAUGAAAGCAUGGGACCAGACCUCAAGCUGUUCAUGAAGACGCUUCUGAACCUCCAUUUGCAUCCUCAGUGCCUCAUUAAUUUGCAUUCCCCUAAAGGACGGGAAGAAUUUGUAGAUUGGUAGAAGUCAAGUUAAAAGAAAAUGAGAGGCAAAAAACUGUGCAUGUAAAAGUGUAUAGUUUUUGGAGGAGGACAAAGAUACCCACGGUGAAGAAUCUGUGGCAGAAAGGCUGUCUCCGGAACUUUUCUUCUCAUCAUUAAAACCUGAAGCUUAACGAAUCCUCAAAAUUAAGAUUCAUAGCCCAAUUUGCUGAAACACGAAGAAAAAGGAAAAAGGAGCACCUUUACCAUCACCAGGAGAUUCCGGAAGAUACUUUGCAAGGCGAUACUUCUACGAGUAGAAACACAAAGACAUUUUCCACUUAUUUCAGGUAUUCAAUAUAUGAAAAAAAUGACUAGUGAGAUUUCUGCACCUGUAAAUGACUUUUCACAUGAUAGAUGGUAAGUCCAGGUACACCCAUCACUCUCAGAACACCUUUCGGUGUAGCCCCUGAAACCAACAAAUAGAAAGAAAAACACAAGUGAAAGCUUUUAAUUAA